GCCACGAAAGGAAUUUAAAUCCCCCGGGAUACGGAACGGGUCAGCCUCAGGGCAGCCUGCCGCGCACUGGCUCUGAUGCUGCCACGCCGAGUGAGCCUAGGCAAGUCACUUCUCUGUUUCGAGCUGCACCCUUUCCUCCCCCCUGGAGUUCUAACAUUUAAGCACUGGAAGAACAAGGUGAAACAUGGGUUGCAUUCUAUGAGGUCAACAAACAACUAGAAGCCAGAAGAUGUCAAAUAUCAGCUCACGGUCAUUGGCCUUUGGAAAGGUCGAGGGUGGAAUGUCGCGGGGCUCUGUCCCCAGCCCCAUCCUGUUCAACAAGUCUGUGGAUCACUACUGUCCAGUCAACGUAUUGGACCCUCGCCAGCUACAUGUUAGAGGAAAGAGUUCCGGGGCACGCACGAAGUUUCUGCGAAAACAGUGAAACCAACUGCAAAUCUUUAAUGGAAGAGAUGUAUGCCUCUUUUUUAACAGCUUAGAGCCAAAUAUUAAUAAAUUAGUAGCCAUGCAA